GUAGGUGAACCUGCGGAAGGAUCAUUAACAAAUCAGCAUAGGACCGCAAGGUCCUAUAUACACCCCAAGCUUGUGAAGGGCGUUGCGCCUGGAUCGGCUUUGGUUGCAGCCUUCGGGCUGUAGGUUCGGCUGUCGCAAGACAGCCAGCCACAUAGACGCUUGUAUGUUUGACAGAGUUUAGUUGCCUUUAAAAGAUACAACUUUUAACAAUGGAUCUCUUGGCUCUUGCAUCGAUGAAGAACGCAGCAUC
rnacentral:misc_RNA from 1 species